rnacentral:rRNA from 1 species
CGUGUAGGCGGUCAGGUAAGUGGAAUGUGAAAUGCCCCGGCUCACCCGGGGACCGGCAUCCCAAACUGCCUGGCUUGAGUAUGGGAGAGGAUGGAGGAAUUCCUGGUGUAGCGGUGAAAUGCGUAGAUAUCAGGAGGAACACCGGUGGCGAAGGCGUCCAUCUGGCCCAAUACUGACGCUGAGGCGCGAAAGCUAGGGGAGCAAACGA